GGGACCCUGCCCUCCGCUGGCACCACGUGUGGCCUCCCCGCGCCUUCCUGGGGCCAGCCACAUGGGCCGCGCACUCACCACACACACGUGGGCUCCCGCGAGCGCCCUCUGGGCGGGAGUCCCUGAGGUUGGCACCCUGGGCGGAGGCCCCGGCCCGCACCCACCCACCUUCACGGAGUAGACGAAGGCCACGAAGCCCAGGCAGAACGAGUUCAGGAAGAUGGUGUUGAACAGGGACCAGACGACAUGGUCGGGCACGACCGUCUCCUCCGGGACGUUGAUCACCGUGGUUGUCGCAGGAGCCGUGCUCAGGAGGGCCCCCCGCACGUCCACCUUGUUCUGCAUCAUCUCUCGAGGGGAGGCACAGGCGUGCCCGGGGAAGAAGAGUGCAGGUGGCCAUGUGGCCCCAAGCAGGUGUGGCCGGGAGCUGGGCAGGGCCUGGGGGUAGGUUGGGCUUGGUUUCCUGGUGCUGUGCAGGCUCCGUGGGCGGGGGCUAGGCCGGGCUGCUGAGGCCUGUCACUCACUGUCAUCUGCCUGACUCAUAUCUUAUUGUCCUUGAUCUAUUGUCAAGUCAACGGCCUCACACAAGGUGCUGCUGCACCCACUGGCAGCGGGGGGCCCUGGGCCUCCAGCACAUUCCUGCCGUGCAUUUGCGGGCCUGGCGCUUAGGUGCAGGAUGUGCGUGUGGCACCUGACGUGGGUGCCCUCCGGGUCCGCCGUCGCCGCCCGGGGCCUAUGCCAAGCACCUGGUGGUCGUGGGUCCCCGUGCGCCCCUUGGGGCUGCCCUCCGCGGGGCUGCCGCGUGUCUGCGCAUCUGGGAUUCUCCCUGGGCUCGUGUGCUGCAGCCGCAUCUCAGGCGUCUUAGUGUCUGUGGCUGCUUUGUUCCUCCCUGGGGCCCCGGAGACCCUGUCGUGUGGACGCAGGGCCUGUGUCCUGCAGCGGUGACACGCUGGCACGCAGCUGCUGGCACGCGGGCCGCCAUGGGCGACGCGGGGCACGGCAGUCCUGGGCACCUCACAGCGGCUCUGCGUCCCCUGUGGGCAUCUUCCCUCUGGGCUGCGCCCUCUGUCACCACGGCCGGCCCUCGGUCCUGGGGUUGCAGGGAGGUGACCUGGCCCCGCAGGGCCUCCCGCAGCGCUCAGCUAUUGCCCACGUCCUGGGGUGCCCCGAGUACCCAGGCCCGCUGUGGGGGUGCGUGUGUCACCCGGGAUCGGGUGCCAGCCACCAGGACUGUGGCCUGCCCGCCACACCACUCCCUGCGCCCCGCUGGCCCCGCGGCUGGUGGCCUUGGGCUCCCCUGAGGCCACAGAGGACAGCCUGCUCCGGGCAGACGUCCCAGCACCGGGUCCCUGCCAGCCGGGAGCACCAGGCCCUGUCCUGUCCCUGGUCCCCCACGGGGCAUGGGGCGGGGUCCCGGGAGCUCAGGACUCAGGGGCCUUCGCCAGGUCUCCCGCAGACGCUCGUGUCCCCUUGAUCCACUGCAGCGACGUCCUCCUCAGCGCCGGAUCUUCCACGUCCGCGUAGACGCGGCCUGUCCUCUUACGGACGGCCUGUUGAGAUGAAGCCUCGCGGCUUCCUGGGCCCCGAGCCCCUUCCCUCAGCCCCGCGGCCUUGGACCCGGCUCUUUGGGGUCCUUUCCCGUUGUCCAGGCCACGUCGGACUCUUGCUGGUGCCUGGCGGCUGCUCCUUCCAGAACAUGGGCCGUCUUCCCUCGGGUGCCUCAGCGGUUUCUGGUGGAAACUCGGUCCGCAGGACAUGCGGCAGCAAUUCCGGCUCUGGUUUCCGGUUCCCAGGGUUCGUUCUGCGGAUGAGCUGACCCACAGCUGAGAUUGUGUCUUCCCUGAGUCCCGGCCUGUCCCCCCUUUAUUGCGGGCUGCACCGUUUCUGUAUCUUACCGAUCUGUUGCGUCAGGAUGACCUGGAAGCCCUGCUGAGCAGGAGGUGGUGACCAGGUUGGGGUGCAAGCCGCCGGAGGCUUGAGGCUGGGCCCCCCCAAAGCCUCUGGCAAGGACUGGGCGGCUGUGGGCUGCUGGCGCUGAACGUGGGCACUCACGGCUCACACCCACGGCUCGGCAAGGGCAGCUGAAGCACCGUCGGCGGCCGCCUGGACUCAAGGCCACGGGCCGGACACAGCAGCCUCCCCAAGCGAGCAGGACGAGCCGCGGGCAGGGGCCUCGUCCCCAGGCCGCCAGAUCCUGUCGCCGACAAUGGCCACUUUCGGACUGGAAUUAUCGGGCAAAGAGUCACAAAUCCCCGGCGCACACGCAGAGGGAAGCAUUCGGCCCGGGCUGCUCCCAGGGGCCGGACUUGCUAGAUGAAGUUUUCGGGUGUGAUCAAGAAACCCCAAGAACUGGUGCCCAACAAGUUAGACAAAAUAUGAGAAUAGUGUUCUACUAAGGGAGACUAUAGAGAAGGAGAAAGCACUUUUACAAGAACCAAAUAGAGAUUCUGAAGUUGGGAAGCGCACUCACGAGCUGAGAAAUCACACGGGGCCGGGAGCACAUCUGACCCACGGGAAGAGUCCGUGAGCGAGCACGACGGCAGGUAAUCGGGGUCACCCCGCCUGAAGAAGGCAGACGAAUCGGUUCGGAGGCCUGUGGGAUGCCAACCGCGGGACCACGUGCGUGUGAGGGCCCCAGGCAGGCAUGAGAGAAAGCACAGAACAAGCAUUUGAAGAAAGAAUGGCCGAAAGCUUCCCGGAUUUGAUGGGAAACCUCCCCCCCCCACUAAACCUCACAUCUAAGAAGCGCCAGGAAUUCAAAGAAUGACCCCGAAGAGAUGCGCAUGUAGUCAUAGUCAAACUACCAAAAGUCAAAGACAAAGAAACUCAGGCUCAUCCCAGCAGAAAGUGGCGUCUCACUGGGACGUCGUGUCGCAUGUGACUCAGGAGGCUCAACACCUCCUCGUGUGCUGCUUGCCGGCCCUCGGACACCUUCCCUGGAGACGCGUCUAGCCAGGCCCUUUGUCAUUUUGAACCGGGUCCCCUGUCUUUUUCCCGUAGCCAUAUCUUGUGUGACCCCUUGAGCCCGUGUGUAGGUGCCGUGUCCGUAAGACUUUGUUUCCUCUGGAUCAUCUGACCUGCUGGUAUGCAGCCGUCCUCGGAAUUUCUGUAGUUCUGCUACUGGUGAUUAUACUGUCCCCGCUUUCAUGUCUGAUUUUAGAAAUCUGAGAUUUUUCUCUUCCUACUGCAUCUAACUGAAGGUUUGUCAAUUUUGUUUGUCUUUUCAAAGAAUCCAUUUUUGGUUUUGCCGAUUUUCUUUAUGCCUGCCCUAAGCUGUGUCAUUUCCUUCCUUUGGCUUGCAUUUUACUUUGCCUUUUUUUUUUUUUUUUUCUGGUUUCUCAAGGUGAAAAGCCCCGUAUUGAUUUCACAUCUUUCUCCUCUUUAAGCGACAGUCUCUGCCUGGAGGCGUUCCCUCCGAGUGCUGCUUGCCCUGCCUCCCCAAGUGUUCACACAUUUGGGUUUGGUUUUCACUCAUCUCCAAGCACUUUCUGGUCUAUCUUGUGAUAGACCCUAUUCUUCGGGUCUCUGGUUCCGCGGGGAAUGUCUCUGUUUUCCUUCUGUCACAGAAAUCUAAUUGUAUUUCAUUGGGGUCAGAUAAUAUAUUUUGUACGAUUUCAA